rnacentral:rRNA from 1 species
AUGCAAGUCGAGCGGGGGAAGGUAGCUUGCUACUGGACCUAGCGGCGGACGGGUGAGUAAUGCUUAGGAAUCUGCCUAUUAGUGGGGGACAACAUCUCGAAAGGGAUGCUAAUACCGCAUACGUCCUACGGGAGUAAGCAGGGGAUCUUCGGACCUUGCGCUAAUAGAUGAGCCUAAGUCGGAUUAGCUAGUUGGUGGGGUAAAGGCCUACCAAGGCGACGAUCUGUAGCGGGUCUGAGAGGAUGAUCCGCCACACUGGGACUGAGACACGGCCCAGACUCCUACGGGAGGCAGCAGUGGGGAAUAUUGGACAAUGGGGGGAACCCUGAUCCAGCCAUGCCGCGUGUGUGAAGAAGGCCUUAUGGUUGUAAAGCACUUUAAGCGAGGAGGAGGCUACUUUAGUUAAUACCUAGAGAUAGUGGACGUUACUCGCAGAAUAAGCACCGGCUAACUCUGUGCCAGCAGCCGCGGUAAUACAGAGGGUGCGAGCGUUAAUCGGAUUUACUGGGCGUAAAGCGUGCGUAGGCGGCUUAUUAAGUCGGAUGUGAAAUCCCCGAGCUUAACUUGGGAAUUGCAUUCGAUACUGGUGAGCUAGAGUAUGGGAGAGGAUGGUAGAAUUCCAGGUGUAGCGGUGAAAUGCGUAGAGAUCUGGAGAAUACCGAUGGCGAAAGCAGCCAUCUGGCCUAAUACUGACGCUGAGUACGAAAGCAUGGGGAGCAA